UUUCCAGAGUGGUUGUACAAGCUUGCAAUCCCACCAGCAAUGGAGGAGUGUUUCUCUUUCUUCACAGGAACUCUUAGAGAACAGGCUCUGUGCAGGCUGGAUUUCCUUCCCCACAGGACACCUUUUCCUGUCCUGGACUCAAUACCCCUAACUCACACCUGUUUGCACAUGGGGGGUUGGGGGGUUCUUUGUGGCUCUUCCUAUGAUCACUGCAGCACACACUCUUCUUUAUAAAUCCCAUUUCAUUUAUUUACUUGACAUUUAGUAUUCUAGGUUUUCUUGAAAAAGGAAACUACUUAAGUAGAGAACCAAAUAUCUUAGCUUUACUAUCUGACUCAAAAGUCAAAUCAGUUAUCCAAUCUCAUUUGAAGUAUUUUAGGAAAAAAAGUAGCAGCAUUUCAAGUCUUCAGAUAGCUAAAGUGGUGAGCAGGGAUAGCAGCUCCACAGCCUUUCAAACUGCCCUUAAGAUGUCACGGCCAUUUUUUCUACAUGUUGCCCUGCCCAGCAAAGACCUCUAAACUGAAUGACAAUGCCUGCUCCUGGCGCCUCAAAUUACAAGCAGAAGCAGGUAGUUCUUCAAAGAAAAAGGCUGCAAUAUCUAAUUCCUCCAGCAUGCAGCAGCAACUCAUUACCUGUAAAAAGCUAUGGAUCCAUGAAUGAAAACCAGUGCCGUCCAGAGUCAAGGCACUGGCAGAUCUCCUCCUCACUUUAAAUUCAAUGCUUCUGAUUCAACUCAAUACCAGAGUCUGGGCGAGGGAAAGAAUGCACCAGAGAAGACAAAGUCCUUCAAGUGAAUUCUGAUCUUUGUUUCAGUUAGGUUCGUCUUGUUAAGUAUGUACAGGAUAUAAGUGGUACGGCUGAAGGCUUCUGAACACAAGCUGACCAUGGUCACAGGAAAACAGGACUCUCAGUACACUCCUAGCACUUGGAAAUCUCAGGCAGCAGGAGAAUUCAUACUGAUUGUAGAGCCAUGAUCAGAACAACAGGGCACAGAGACACAACUCGUCCCCCUGUAUUUCUCAGGUGUAAAAUGGUGUGAGUUACUUUUCAUCAAAACUGAAACCCAGAGCAACGCAAUCAAGAACAAUCGUGAAGAUCAAAGGACUGAAGAGAAACAAAGCUGUAAUAAACAGCACUCCUGUUCAGAGGCUGCAGAGGCAGAUGGGAAACAGGCAGUUUCUGCGGGAUUCCUGGAACUGUGUGCAAGAGGACCUAAUGCACUACAUUGCUACUCAGUUGCUGAGGCUAGCAUGUCAAAUGAUCACAGCAGACUCCAUGUGCUACUUCAGGAAGCAGAGCAGAAAUGAAACACUGGGAGACCUCGAACAUCUGGGAAGCAGGAGUAAAUGCAUCACUAUGCAGUCAUUAAUAAUCUACAAGAGACACCAUCAAUAAGACAAAAAGACCACCAACA